CGCGGGGUGGAGCAGCUCGGUAGCUCGCUGGGCUCAUAACCCAGAGGUCGCAGGUUCGAAUCCUGUCCCCGCUACCA
rnacentral:tRNA from 2012 species